UCCCUUCUAGCUUAAGUCUUUGUAAAGCACUAGUUUGAAGAGCUGGGGAUACAUAUGUGUGGUGGGA
rnacentral:tRNA from 1 species